rnacentral:rRNA from 1 species
UACGAAGGGGGCUAGCGUUGCUCGGAAUCACUGGGCGUUAAGGGUGCGUAGGCGGGGCUUUAAGUCAGGGGGGAAAUCCUGGAGCUCAACUCCAGAACUGCCUUUGAUACUGAAGAUCUUGAGUUCGGGAGAGGUGAGUGGAACUGCGAGUGUAGAGGUGAAAUUCGUAGAUAUUCGCAAGAACACCAGUGGCGAAGGCGGCUCACUGGCCCGAUACUGACGCUGAGGCACGAAAGCGUGGGGAGCAAACAGG